rnacentral:misc_RNA from 1 species
AAGGGGGGCUGGCUGACUUUGGGUGUCAAUUCCGACAUGCGCAGACAUGGCGAAUUGGUACCCAAAGUCAGUCAGCCCCACAC